rnacentral:rRNA from 1 species
UACGGGGGGAGCAAGCGUUGUUCGGAUUUACUGGGCGUAAAGGGCGCGUAGGCGGUUCGCUAAGUUGGAUGUGAAAUCUUGCGGCUUAACCGCAAGGCUGCCUUCUAAACUGUCAGGCUAGAGCACAGUAGAGGCAGGUGGAAUUCCCGGUGUAGCGGUGGAAUGCGUAGAGAUCGGGAAGAACAUCAGUGGCGAAGGCGGCCUGCUGGGCUGUUGCUGACGCUGAGGCGCGACAGCGUGGGGAGCAAACAGG